GCCCGGGUGGCGGAAUUGGCAGACGCGCAAGCUUGAGGUGCUUGUGUCCGUUAGGACGUGGAGGUUCGAGUCCUCUCUCGGGCA
rnacentral:tRNA from 1 species